rnacentral:rRNA from 1 species
GAGUAAUGCUUGGGAAUAUGCCUUAUGGUGGGGGACAACAGUUGGAAACGACUGCUAAUACCGCAUGAUGUCUACGGACCAAAGUGGGGGACCUUCGGGCCUCACGCCAUAAGAUUAGCCCAAGUGGGAUUAGCUAGUUGGUGAGGUAAUGGCUCACCAAGGCGACGAUCCCUAGCUGGUUUGAGAGGAUGAUCAGCCACACUGGGACUGAGACACGGCCCAGACUCCUACGGGAGGCAGCAGUGGGGAAUAUUGCACAAUGGGCGCAAGCCUGAUGCAGCCAUGCCGCGUGUGUGAAGAAGGCCUUCGGGUUGUAAAGCACUUUCAGUAAGGAGGAAAGGUUAAGUGUUAAUAGCACUUACCUGUGACGUUACUUACAGAAGAAGCACCGGCUAACUCCGUGCCAGCAGCCGCGGUAAUACGGAGGGUGCGAGCGUUAAUCGGAAUUACUGGGCGUAAAGCGUACGCAGGCGGUUUGUUAAGCGAGAUGUGAAAGCCCCGGGCUCAACCUGGGAACUGCAUUUCGAACUGGCAAACUAGAGUGUGAUAGAGGGUGGUAGAAUUUCAGGUGUAGCGGUGAAAUGCGUAUAGAUCUGAAGGAAUACCGAUGGCGAAGGCAGCCACCUGUGUCAACACUGACGCUCAUGUACGAAAGCGUGGGGGAGCAAACAGGAUUAGAUACCCUGGUAGUCCACGCCGUAAACGAUGUCUACU